GCAGGACACAAGGAGAAGGUCAGUAGAAUCCAGUGGCUAAGAGGCUAUGGGACAAAGAAGAUCAACAGUCAGCAUAUAGCCUGUGAACACAACUCCCAUGGGGUCCCCCUCUUCUCCAGGGAGUUGCCCAGUGGUCACAAAGAGAAUGACCGCUGCUGACAGUGGUCAGGUUUGAGAAGGUGCCACCGUCGCCCAUCCGUAUCUGUCAGCCCUACAGCACACGGCAUAAUUCAACUGUAAUUGAUAAUCCCUGCCUGCCAUGCGGCCAGCGGUGGUCAGCUGAAGGGAACACCAUAUCCAGAUCGGCUGCUCUGAUAGUUAAUGAAUGAACUGGAUUCCAGCAGAGUCUGAAAGCUAGCUGUACCUGCGUUAUUUUCCUGAGAUGCUAGUAACCAAUGGCUUAAGAGAGGAGUUACAACUCAAAUGCCUACAAGGAUCCAGCAGGUCAUGGUUUAUCACUAAGCAAGCUUGAGCCCAGAUCGUCUUCAAUUGUCUGGAGCCGAGGGCGGUGUUCCAGCUCCCAGAAUCACAACACUGGAAAAAGACACGAGUGGAGCAGUCUCCUUGGAUGAACGGCACGAGAGCACAGGUGAGGCAAGAAGGUGGUGUUUCAAAGAACGUGGACACCAGGCUGGACAGAAUUAGGUCUGAAGUCAUUUAUGAGCCUCAGGUUCUUAUCCGGAAAGUGCAGACAACUACCUUACAGGAGAAAUGCUGGGACAAAGUGAGCCCAGGGAAGUGAUUGGAAGCUGAGACACCAAGAGAUCAGGUCAAAGUCACACAGCCAACAAGGAGGAGCCUGCACUCCAGCUCAGAGCUUCGGACCCCCCAGUGCUGCUGGCCUCCCUCAAACAACAUCAAGUUACAAAUCUCUUUCAAAUAUGAGCACUCUGGUCUCCAGGACAGGGCAAAAACAGUGAAGGCUCAGAUCUGUGUGUAGAAGACCAGUUCCAAAGGAGCAAGGUGAAAGAGGACAAAGCACAUGAACUUAGCUCUCCAUUGACUAUCAGGAUAUUCAAGCCCUGGAGUUGCAAUGGAAUCCUUGUGGGGAAAACUCAAUUAAACCUGCUACAGAAUGCACACAGAGCAAGGAGGAAAAGGAACAAGAGGGGGAAAAAAAGACAUUUCUUUCGAAUAAUAAAGCUCCAGAUUUAAAAUUA